AAGCGNCCAGAGCCUGAAUCAGUGUGUGUGUUAGUGGAAGCGUCUGGAAAGGCGCGCGAUACAGGGUGACAGCCCCGUACACAAAAAUGCACAUGCUGUGAGCUCGAUGAGUAGGGCGGGACACGUGGUAUCCUGUCUGAAUAUGGGGGGACCAUCCUCCAAGGCUAAAUACUCCUGACUGACCGAUAGUGAACCAGUACCGUGAGGGAAAGGCGAAAAGAACCCCGGCGAGGGGAGUGAAAAAGAACCUGAAACCGUGUACGUACAAGCAGUGGGAGCACGCUUAGGCGUGUGACUGCGUACCUUUUGUAUAAUGGGUCAGCGACUUAUAUUCUGUAGCAAGGUUAACCGAAUAGGGGAGCCGAAGGGAAACCGAGUCUUAACUGGGCGUUAAGUUG
rnacentral:rRNA from 1 species